AGUGAACGCUGGCGGUAGGCCUAACACAUGCAAGUCGAACGGCAGCACAGUAAGAGCUUGCUCUUACGGGUGGCGAGUGGCGGACGGGUGAGGAAUACAUCGGAAUCUACUUUUUCGUGGGGGAUAACGUAGGGAAACUUACGCUAAUACCGCAUACGACCUACGGGUGAAAGCAUGGGAUCUUCGGACCUUGCGCGAUUGAAUGAGCCGAUGUCGGAUUAGCUAGUUGGCGGGGUAAAGGCCCACCAAGGCGACGAUCCGUAGCUGGUCUGAGAGGAUGAUCAGCCACACUGGAACUGAGACACGGUCCAGGCUCCUACGGGAGGCAGCAGUGGGGAAUAUUGGACAAUGGGCGCAAGCCUGAUCCAGCCAUACCGCGUGGGUGAAGAAGGCCUUCGGGUCGUAAAGCCCUUUUGUUGGGAAAGAAAAGCAGCAGGUUAAGACCCCGCUGUUCUGACGGUACCCAAAGAAUAAGCACCGGCUAACUUCGUG
rnacentral:rRNA from 1 species